GGGAUGUUUGAAAAUAUGCUACUCUGUUAAUCUUCAUUUCAAGCUGUCUUGGUUGUACAUAACAAACAAUGUCUUGCUAGAACGGGAUUUUAGUUAUAGAGGAAUACAGAGUAAAGGCUAAUUUGUAAUUCUUCAGCAUGUUCGUCUUUUUCACUUAUGGCUGUUUUUAGUGGGUGGAGCAUUUUGUCUUGUUAAUUAUAUUAACGAAUGAGACCUCAGCCUGCUAACUAGCUAUGUGGGGGUUCCCCUUUGCAACCAACCAACCUCUUAGAGGGGCCAUGGUCUGUGAAGUUUUAAGCAAUAACAGGUCUGUGAAGCCCUUACAUGUUGUGGGCUGCACACACACUACACUGAUGCAGUGAAAGGGUAGCCAUGGAAGUUUGAGGCAAUAGCAGGUCUGUGAUGCCCUUAGAUGUUCUGGGCUGCACACAUGUUACACUGAUGCAGUGAAAGAGUUGUUCUCCCUGUUCGAGAGGACCGGGAAAUCUUCUAAAAUUGCAUCUUGAUGGGAGUAGAUCUUUGCAAUUAUUGAUCAUCAAUGAGGAAUUCCUUAUAAGCACAUAUCAGCAGCUUAUGUUGCCUACGUCUCUGCCAUUUGUACACACCGCCUGACACUUCUGAUCAAAGUCCAACCAUUGAGCAAUUCAAAUUCAAAACAAGAGCCAAUUUCUGAUUGUC
rfam:Picea glauca, whole genome shotgun sequence.